rfam:Camelus ferus unplaced genomic scaffold scaffold688, whole genome shotgun sequence.
GAGGGUGCAGCUCAGUGGUACAGCGCAUGCUUAGCAUGCACGAGGUCCUGGGUUCCAUCCCCAGUACCUCCA